rnacentral:lncRNA from 1 species
UUUUAUUCAUGAAAAUUUUAAAUUUUUUUGCAAAAUCAAUAAAUUAAAAGAUAGAGUAUUUUUGUCAAAAAAAAAAAAAUGAAAUUUUGAAAAUCUCUAAAAUUUAUGUAUUUAUAUAUUAAUGUCCCUAUACGAUAAUAUAAUGAUAUAUCACAAAGUUGACGCCAAUUUGAGUUUAUAACAUUAAAAUAUAAGAACUGCGAACUGCCAGCAUUUAUGUAAAGAAAAGAAUGUUAAAUGUGAUGGCUUCGUCAUUAAAUUAUUCCGGCACUGCACCUUAUUUUUUUU